UACGGGGGGAGCAAGCGUUGUUCGGAUUUACUGGGCGUAAAGGGCGCGUAGGCGGCCACCGCAAGUCAAUUGUGAAAUCUCCGGGCUUAACUCGGAAAGGUCAACUGAUACUGCGGGGCUAGAGUGCGGAAGGGGCAACUGGAAUCCUCGGUGUAGCGGUGAAAUGCGUAGAUAUCGAGAGGAACACCUGCGGCGAAGGCGGGUUGCUGGGCCGACACUGACGCUGAUGCGCGAAAGCCAGGGGAGCGAACGGG
rnacentral:rRNA from 1 species